GACGAACGCUGGCGGCGUGCUUAACACAUGCAAGUCGAACGAUGAAGCCCAGCUUGCUGGGUGGAUUAGUGGCGAACGGGUGAGUAACACGUGGGCAACCUGCCCCAAACUCUGGGAUAACUCCUCGAAAGAGGUGCUAAUACCGGAUACGAACUAGACAGACAUCUGUACUAGUUGGAAAGUUUUUCGGUUUGGGAUGGGCCCGCGGCCUAUCAGCUUGUUGGUGAGGUAACGGCUCACCAAGGCUACGACGGGUAACCGGCCUGAGAGGGCGACCGGUCAAACUGGGACUGAGACACGGCCCAGACUCCUACGGGAGGCAGCAGUGGGGAAUAUUGCGCAAUGGGCGAAAGCCUGACGCAGCGACGCCGUGUGAGGGAUGAAGGUCUUCGGAUCGUAAACCUCUUUCAGUAGGGACGAAGCGAAAGUGACGGUACCUAAAGAAGAAGCACCGGCUAACUACGUGCCAGCCGCCGCCGUAA
rnacentral:rRNA from 1 species